rnacentral:rRNA from 1 species
UACGUAGGGGGCAAGCGUUGUCCGGAUUUAUUGGGCGUAAAGAGCGUGUAGGCGGCUUGGUAGGUCCGCUGUGAAAACUCGAGGCUCAACCUCGAGAUGUCGGCGGAAACCGCUUGGCUAGAGUCCGGAAGAGGAGAGUGGAAUUCCCGGUGUAGCGGUGAAAUGCGCAGAUAUCGGGAGGAACACCAAUGGCGAAGGCAGCUCGCUGGGACGGUACUGACGCUGAGACGCGAAAGCGUGGGGAGCAAACAGG